UUUUCAAAAUGGUCAAAAUUGUCUGCCUGAUUUAUGCAGUCCUCCUGGUUGGACUUCUGGAAAGUUGUUUUGCAAGAAGUGCAAUUUUGAAUAGAGAUGUUGAGGGUACUGUCGAUGUACCACCCGCUCUAGAAAAACGAAGUGAAAGUUUUUUUGAAGAUAAUGCGUCUGGAGCUGGAAGUGCUGGAGGUGCUGAAGAUGCUUUAUCUCUAGAAAAACGUUUUGUACCACGAACUGCACCACAGAACCGUUGCCCUGGAGGGCCUGUUCGAGUCCCAGGCAGUUCUGUAACACAACCUUCACCACAGAACCGUGGCCCUGGAGGGCCUGGUCGAGCCUCAGGCAAUUAUGGAAAAUGAUGCAUCAGGAAAAACGAAGUCCUUAGUUUUCUGAAAUAGAAUUUAGUCUUCCGAAAAUCUUUAAAAGGGCAUUACAAACACCAACAGAUUUAAACAUGUAUCCAUCAUCUGUUGAAAUAAACAAUGAAACU